rnacentral:rRNA from 1 species
GAUGAACGCUGGCGGCGUGCCUAAUACAUGCAAGUCGAGCGAACGGACGAGAAGCUUGCUUCUCUGAUGUUAGCGGCGGACGGGUGAGUAACACGUGGAUAACCUACCUAUAAGACUGGGAUAACUUCGGGAAACCGGAGCUAAUACCGUAUAAUAUUUUGAACCGCAUGGUUCAAAAGUGAAAGACGGUCUUGCUGUCACUUAUAGAUGGAUCCGCGCUGCAUUAGCUAGUUGGUAAGGUAACGGCUUACCAAGGCAACGAUGCAUAGCCGACCUGAGAGGGUGAUCGGCCACACUGGAACUGAGACACGGUCCAGACUCCUACGGGAGGCAGAAGUAGGGAAUCUUCCGCAAUGGGCGAAAGCCUGACGGAGCAACGCCGCGUGAGUGAUGAAGGUCUUCGGAUCGUAAAACUCUGUUAUUAGGGAAGAACAUAUGUGUAAGUAACUGUGCACAUCUUGACGGUACCUAAUCAGAAAGCCACGGCUAACUACGUG